rnacentral:rRNA from 1 species
UACGUAGGUCCCGAGCGUUGUCCGGAUUUAGUAGGCGUAAAGCGAGCGCAGGUGGUUUAUUAAGUCUGGUGUAAAAGGCAGUGGCUCAACCAUUGUAUGCAUUGGAAACUGGUAGACUUGAGUGCAGGAGAGGAGAGUGGAAUUCCAUGUGUAGCGGUGAAAUGCGUAGAUAUAUGGAGGAACACCGGUGGCGAAAGCGGCUCUCUGGCCUGUAACUGACACUGAGGCUCGAAAGCGUGGGGAGCAAACAGG